AUCAUUAGAGGCAUCGCGUGUCAUUAGAUUCUUCAUUGUGCUUCAGGCGGCACAUAUCGAUGAUGCCACUUAGCUGGAGUUAUUUUCAUAAUGACCCGGCAAUUAUUUAACUAGAGCUGUAAAGGUGUUUAGGUAUAGUUGGACUAGAACGUGAUGGGGUUGAUAAUGGAGAAGAAAUCAUUCCAGUGAAUGUCAUUCAUUGUUUGUUUAGUGGAACAGUGAUUUUCUCAUUUGUACCGGUGGACAAAAUGAAUAUUUACCGAGAGCAACGAUUCCAACAUUUUUCGCCACAUUUAUUUAAAUCCAACAAAACCAGUUAUCUACGCGGAAGGAAAGACAAGGGUCUUUGCUUUCUUUAUUGUCCAGUAACCAGAGGUAAAGGACAUUAUGCAAAGUCAAUGCUCCACCAGUUGGGUAUACCCAGUGUUUACUGAAUAUCAGCGUGGGUGAACGAGACGGCGGUUGAUGCGUAAUUAAAAUAUAAAUCACGCUUUCUAAGAAGGAGUGGAAAAAAUCAUCUGAAUGGAUAUGUCGUUAGACUAAAUGAUAAUUAGACAAUGGAUAAGUAUUAACGGUUUUUCCAGAUUAUGAAACACCUCUGUCUCACUGUAACAACUAGUGUCUACAAGACGUGAAUAAAUGGAUCUGGAUUAAGAUAAUUACGAUAUCUAGAGAGUAGACAAAAAUGUCUUAAUUUCAAUUGGGAAAAAUCAACGUCUUUCAACGCCAGACAAAAAAGGUCUUUACCUACUGACUACCUUUUUUAGGAUGAGGGUUACAAAAACGAGGCUCUUAAUCCAUAAUGAAUCUAUUUUCGACACUGGCUUUUCCACUGCUUUUGUUCUUACUAGAUCAAACCAUUACCAAUGCAAAAGACAGUACUGACUCAGAAAUCUAUCAAGGUAACCCAAAUCGGCUAUUCAUAUAAUUCAAACAUGAAACAUUGGUAAUGAGAAUUGCCUCGGAAAACUAUCCGCUGGUCGAUAUAACAACCUGACAGCCGCAGGUAUCUGGAAUAUCUUUGAAUACAUUUUGAAUUCGAUUGAGGUAUUGACUAAGCAAGAACAAGAAAUAUCUGGAUAAUGGGGGUCGGAAUCAGUGGGUCCAAGGCUGCAGGACCCCGGAACAAUUUCGGAUGGAAAUCUCAUUUCCACUGUCUCGGACUGAGAUUGCAUCGCAAUCUAGCAACUGUUGCAGUCGAGAAAGAGACAAUGAGAUAAGUCGUUAUUGGAGAUGUUGAAGAAAUGAGAUGACAGCUUUGAGUCUGUCCUCUGUUCAUUCAAUUUCGGGUGGAUUGAACGCAUGAAAAUCAGAAGACGAUAAGGGAACAAGGAAUAAAGUCAAUGGGAUUAGUUUCGCUGAUUGAAUUUUAAUGCAAUGUUUUCUUUUUCUUGAUGGAAAUCGACAGCGAGGUCCCUAACCCCGAGAUUAAACGAGAAUAGUGGAAAGCGGGUGGUUUGAAAAAAAAAAAAAAAUAACCAUCAUCGUGGUACCCUUGCACAAAAGCCAGUGUGGGCAGACUUAAAGGUUAGUCAGGUUAGUCAACAGGUGGCUAACCUGCCAUUGCCAGAGGGAGAUGGAAAAUACCAAGGGAAGGAAAAAAAAGAGGAAUGAAACGAGGGAGAGAGGGCAACACAACCUACACAAACAAUGCGUCGAAUGCACAAAUACAAAUCUCUCCCUUCUUGGAUAUAACUUAGGUACGAGCAG